GCAGAACACGUAGAGUCCUUGGAAAAGUCUGGCCUGCGCGGGGCUCAGCUUGUCCUCAAGUCCCGGGCCGUGACUGCUCAAAACAAGGAGGCCCUCACCGACGGGCCGCUGCGUCUGCAGGAGGAUCCUGGGAUGCUGGACUGGAUACAGUUUCCUGUCUUUCUGUGGCUGUUUCCGGACCUGUUUGAGCACAGGCUACAAAUUUAGAGGUCGCGGAGAACCUUGGCAGGGAGCGUCUCUGAUUUCCCACAGCUCUGCUUUCUCCACUGGCUCAUUGCCAGGGAACUGCGGUCCACGUGGCCUCUCUCCACACUCUGCUUUCUUCCUGAAGUCCAGGCCUCCAUCACUGUGCCAUCCAAUAUCAGGAAAUGCCCUUUUAUGAUUGCCUUUUGUCUUUUCCCAUUCCCGGCAUGGAGCAGAUUGUUGCCUAUUAUUUGCUUAGGCUUUCCUUUAUCCACACUCUUGGAUAAACCCUUACAUCCUGAUGCUGGGCUUGAACAGGUGACUUGCUUUGGUCAAGGGUAAAGGUAAUGCAAGAGGAAACUUGAAGAUUGCAUGCUGCUCCUGGAAACCUGACUCUAUAUGAGCAUGCCGUGACUAUCCUGAUAGAUGACAUGGCCCAGCACCCCUAAAGAACACUGAGAGACAGGCCAUGGGGAUCAGCCAGCUCCCAGCCAACCUGACCCCAGGCAUAUGAUUGUUGCUCCAGUCCCUUGGCACCAUCCAGACAUUGACCUAAGAAGAUAACCUUGGGGAAUCUGGAGGAUGUCAAUACAGCAUGGUCUGAUGAGAGCUGGGAAAGUCCGUCUUCCCAUCUCCUCCCCUUCUCAGGUUCAAGCCACUCCAGGGCUGACUCACAGAACCAACUUUCUCUCCAGUUGAUCCUUAUGACACAGGAACUUCUGAAGCCUGAAAAUGAUGCUGGAGGAACAAUCAAGCAAUGACUUGGACCUUGAGAUUUCAUCAUGUUUGAAGGCUCUCUGCUUGGUAAUAUUUAUGAGACCAUUAUUCACAGACAGACAACCUUCUUUUAGGUUUUAUUAGACAAUAUUAAGUCCAGAUAAGAGACCAACAGAGGAAUUUGAGAAUGAAAUCUGAAUUCUGAGAGUAUUAUUACUGUUUCUUGAGAAGGAAGAGGAGAAAGGAAGGAAACAUUCAUUGCCACAUGCUAUACCUUGUGCUCAGUCAUUUCACAAAGAUGUCCUUUAUCCUUGAACAAGAUCGGGUUCACAUUAUCAUCUUUGUACACGUGUGAACAGGGACAAGAAAUGUAUUUGUUUCCUUGUUUGAGAUGAUUACCAAUGGGUGCCAGAGGGGCCUAUAGGUGAUUUUAAUUAAAUUGCUUCAAAUUACUUCUCGUUCUUCAAGCAAGAAGACCACUGGAUUCUAUCCAGGUUUUAGCUACCCAGCUUGGGGUGGACUGAGGUUGACCAAAGGAUAAAAGCUGCAAAAUAUAGCAAACUCACCUAGUGACUUUCUCCUUAUAGGACUCAACUCUCCUCUAGAAACCACCUUCUUUUGUUUUCUCCUCACUAUCAUCCAACGAUCAUUUGUAUAUUUCUCCCAGAGUUUUUAGUGGUUGUCCAUGAGAAGAUGUGUCUGAAAGAAGCUACCUGACCACUACAAAAGUAGUUCCAAUUUGUUAGCAAUGUUUGAGGAAAUAUGGGUAAAGUUUCAUGACUGACUUGUAAAUUAAAGGCUGCACUUGGGCCAGGCGUGGUGGCUCAUGCCUAUAAUCCCAGCACUUUGGGAGGCCAAGGUGGACAGAUCACCUGAGGUCAGGAGUUCAAGACCAGCCUGGCCAACAUGGCGAAACCCCGUCUCUACUAAAAAUAAAAAAAUUAGCCAGGCGUGGUGGUGCACACCUGUAAUCCCAGCUACUCGGGAGGCUGAGGCAGGAGAAUUGCUCCAACCCAGGAGGCAGAGGUUGCAGUAAGCCAAGAUCACACCACUGUACUCCAGCCUGGGUGACAGAGUGAGACUCUGUCUCAAAAAAAAAAAAAAAAAAAAAAAAAGGCUGCACUUGAACAGUAAUGUUGCCCUUUAGGUGAUCAACUCAGGAAGGUAUACAUAAAUUCUAGGAAUGCUGCCAUUGCUCAAAACAUGUUUGGAACUCCUUGCUGGAAACUACCUUUGGAGUCAGCAGCCUCAUUCCUGUGGAGUCAGUUUCCAUUUUCCACCUCAAAUGGUAAAUGGUGUUAAUGCAGUUUGGCUGUGCCUUUUUUCACCUUCAUGAAAUGACAAAUGCAUUUCUGUGUUUGUCUUCUCUCCAAAUUACAGAGUAAGUUCCUGGAGGAUGGGGAAAGUUUCUAGUUAUCUGUCGAAUCCCACAUUCUUGGCCUAACACAAGGCACGUGGUCAGUUUUCAACAAAUAUUGUUGAAUAGUGAAAUUACAAGGUAUAAGAGUUUACUGUAUUUUUGUUUUUGUGGUAAACAUGUCAGGCAGUAGCUUUUUUAUUUGAUUAUUGCAUGCAUAGACUAUUGCUGGCAGAAGGGACCUUAACAACUUCUAGAAUAACUUUCCAGUUCAUGGAAAAAAGCUUUCUGGCAAGUUAAACCUUGAAGCUUCUUCCUGAAUAUUCAAAUCAAAGCAGGUUAGCAAUUGCUCUUUACCUAACUGAAAUGCACAUAAACAACACUGCAUUGCAAUUUUUCACUAAUCAGAUUGUCAAAGAAUGAUAAUUAUUAUGAGUGAUAAUAAAUUCAAAUCUGC
rnacentral:lncRNA from 1 species